rnacentral:rRNA from 1 species
CCUACGGGGGCAGCAGUGAGGAAUAUUGGUCAAUGGUCGGGAGACUGAACCAGCCAAGCCGCGUGAGGGGUGAAGGUACAGAGUAUCGUAAACCUCUUUUGUCAGGGAACAAAGGCGGGGACGUGUCCCCUGAUGAGUGUACCUGCAGAAAAAGCAUCGGCUAACUCCGUGCCAGCAGCCGCGGUAAUACGGCGGAUGCGAGCUUUAUCCGGGUUUAUGGGGUGUAAAGGGUGCUCCGGCGGUCUGUUAAGUCAGCGGUCAAAGCCCGGGGGUCAAUCCCGGCCCGCCGGUGAAACUGGCAGUCUCGAGUUGGAGAGAGGUAUGCGGAAUGCGCGGUGUAGCGGUGAAAUGCAUAGAUAUCGCGCAGAACUCCGAUUGCGAAGGCAGCAUGCCGGCUCCACACUGACGCUGAGGCACGAAAGCGUGGGUAUCGAACAGGAUUAGAUACCCGAGUAGUC